UUAAAGUCCAGGCACGUUCACACAACACCAGGCAGCUCUCUGCUUCAGAAUCUGAAGAGUUCCAUCACUUAUCUUGUGAAAUUUGUGUUCCAGCAUUGCAGUGGUCUUAAUUCCAAAUGCAAGGUUUUACUUAAAUUUUAAACACAGUACAAAGAAGCCUGUAUUAUUGUAACAAUCUAAAAGAAUGCUGGAUAUGGGAACAGUUGGUGAUCCACAGGAAAUUUCUUCCCCUGCCGAAAACCUUUUUCUUGGCAUUUCAUCACUCAGCUUGUCUCUGCCUCCCCAACAUUCCACAGCAGCUCCCACCUUUCACUUCCUAAGCUCAACAGACACAGAGUGUAGCUGGACUGGUUUAAAAAGAGAUGGGAGACUAUGGCCUAAAUCCAACCCCACAUCACAACCAGAACAGAAUCAUUGAAUUGUGUAAAUUCAAUUGAUUAAACAAGUCUUCUCUUAUUGGGGCUACCAACUGGAUGCAGAUCUGUAAAAGCAAUCUGAAUUACUGGAAUGAGGAAGCACACAAACUACCUAACCCAGAGAUGUCCUAUGGAUUCCAUACUAUUUGCCAAAUUGGAAUUUAAUAAAGGUUACUUCAUUAUGUU
rnacentral:lncRNA from 11 species